rnacentral:ncRNA from 1 species
UCGAUAGAGGCGCGAGGCUUAAAAGUAACGGUUUUUUCAGCGAGAUAACGAAAAACCGCCAAAGGAAGUUUCGCCGAAACUGCGCGAUUUUUGCUCGAAAAACGCGUUGUUGGGCUGCAGGGAAACACGUUGCAGACUGUCGCAAGCUUGCUUGCGGAGCGCUAUUUUG